rnacentral:rRNA from 1 species
GUUGCGGACAGUGUCUGGUGGGUAGUUUGACUGGGGCGGUCUCCUCCUAAAGAGUAACGGAGGAGCACGAAGGUUGGCUAAUCCUGGUCGGACAUCAGGAGGUUAGUGCAAUGGCAUAAGCCAGCUUGACUGCGAGCGUGACGGCGCGAGCAGGUGCGAAAGCAGGUCAUAGUGAUCCGGUGGUUCUGAAUGGAAGGGCCAUCGCUCAACGGAUAAAAGGUACUCCGGGGAUAACAGGCUGAUACCGCCCAAGAGUUCAUAUCGACGGCGGUGUUUGGCACCUCGAUGUCGGCUCAUCACAUCCUGGGGCUGAAGUAGGUCCCAAGGGUAUGGCUGUUCGCCAUUUAAAGUGGUACGCGAGCUGGGUUUAGAACGUCGUGAGACAGUUCGGUCCCUAUCUGCCGUGGGCGCUGGAGAACUGAGGGGGGCUGCUCCUAGUACGAGAGGACCGGAGUGGACGCAUCACUGGUGUUCGGGUUGUCAUGCCAAUGGCACUGCCCGGUAGCUAAAUGCGGAAGAGAUAAGUGCUGAAAGCAUCUAAGCACGAAACUUGCCCCGAGAUGAGUUCUCCCUGAGACUUAGAGUCUCCUGAAGGAACGUUGAAGACGACGACGUUGAUAGGCCGGGUGUGUAAGCGCAGCGAUGCGUUGAGCUAACCGGUACUAAUGAACCGUGAGGCUUAACCUUACAACGCCGAAGCUGUU